UCGCCUUGGCGCGCGCAGCCCUUACAUAAGCGUCCCCGGCGCCGGUGCCGGUGCACGUCCACGCACAGCGACCUGCAGCAGGAAGAGUAAAGUGCAGAGCGCCGCGGACACUCACCUCCGCCCCGCCGCCUCCAACCGUGGCCGCCGCCUCUGACGGUCCCUGCCUCCACUGACAGGGAACAGCUGCGGUCUCCGCGCAACCAAACUUGCUGCGGCGCUGGCUCCGCCCCUGAGACUUCCCAUUGGGUGAGACGGCCCAGCCCCUCCAACGAUUGGAUGAAUGGCCCUAUCAAUCACCGCUCCCCCUUUCAGGACUCCUCCCCGCACCCACCCACCCCUAGCGUUCAAGCCUUGGCGCCUCACGUCGGCUCCGCCCCUCGCGUCCCCGGAGGACCAUGUGAUUGGUGAAGAGGCGAGAAGAGCCCACCCCCUACGCGCCCCCGCCUACUCCCGUUUCAAGGAGGCCUCACGUGGGCAGUCUGGAGCGGCCAGGGCCCGCAAUAGGCGGAAGUGGUGCGUCUGGAAGCUCAUCCUGAUUGGCUGUCGGCGGGGGUGGGGACGCGCAAUUCAUUCACUCGGGUAGCACGUGUCUCUUAAAACCGCAACCAUAACAGAUGCACGGGGGUUGGAGCAGGGCUGCCAGAUGCACUUACUCUUUAGCAGCUACAGAAGAGGUCGCAGGAGAAGCGCUAGCUGAGAGCACGAGGAAGCGGAGAGCGCCGGUACCACCUGGGGUUAUGUGUCCGCGUCCUUUAGAAGCGGCGUGAUGGAGGUGGUGGUCAGAUGCCCGCCUCUGUGUGACCUUGGAGCAUCAGCUUCACGUCUCUGAGCUCAGACUCCUGACCGACAAAGCUGGGCCGCUCAGAACCUUAAAAGAUUUUCUUUCUAGAAGGUUCGGUUCAGCUAAUGAAAGUCACCAACUCCAAAGUCCUGCCUUCCAGUAAUAGGAGACCAAAGAGUAAACAAAUACAGUCCAUCAUCAUUGAUCAGGCCAAGAAGAGAAAAAUAGACCAUUUCCUGACAGGACAAUCAGGAAUUAUGAGGACAUCGCGUUAAACAAUAAUUGCUUACUAACUCCGACUCUGGUGUGUAGAGCUUGCCACUGGGCUGCUGGGCAAAGUGGCCCAGGUUUGUAGUAAUACCAGUACUUAGAAGACUGAGGCAGGAGAAUUUCAAGUUCAAGGUCCUCAAGGAAUCCAGGCCACACUCGUGGGUCUCUGGGGACUGUUUCCAUCUAUCAGUGCUGUUAAGCCAUCCUGAGUCAUCAUGACAAUGAGGGGAAGGUGGCCCUCUGGAAAUCACUGGGCCCAUUGCAGUGUCCCACCAGUCCAUGACGAAGCAGACGUGGGUUGGCGUUAGGAGCACAACACUAAGGCCCUUGAGCCCACAGAUCUCUAGAGAAAACAGGAAUGUUAAGCACACAAGAUUGUCUUUCCAUUGAGAAAGAUGUUUAGAAAAGAAAGAAAGAAAGAAAAGACCCUGUUCUUCUAUCCAGGAAAUUGAGGAUUGGAAGUGAUUAAUUGCCUGGUGAUCUGUUAAUCCAGACCAUAUCAAGCCUCUACAACCAGAACCUGAGGUAGGUAGUAAUCUAAAUGACUUUUAAAGCCAGAGGUUCCCCCAAGCUCUCACAACCAGGAGGAGAGGUGGCUUGUAGUCCAAAUGACCUCUACACUAUGAGUGUAUGAGUGAGAGCAGGCCAGAGCCUCAGGCCCUUACGCUAGUACAGGUAUCCUAUCUUUAGAACCCAUCUUCCUGGGGAAAAAAACGACAUGUACCCUGAGUCUAGUUUCAAUGAAAUUAUGCUUCCUUGUAUACCAGAGAUUGUACUACACCAGGAAACUUUUUUUCUAAAUUACGCUGGUCUUAAAUAGGUUGACAAUGAGCCACCUGCUAUUAGACUCUUGAGAAGUUUUGAACCAGGUUGAUAAAGUCAGUCUGACCUGA